rnacentral:rRNA from 1 species
AGAGUUUGAUCAUGGCUCAGAUUGAACGCUGGCGGCAGGCCUUACACAUGCAAGUCGAACGUGAAAGCUCUUCGGAGUGAGUAGAGUGGCGGACGGGUGAGUAACGCGUAGGAAUCUACCUAGUAGUGGGGGACAACAUGGUGAAAACCAUGCUAAUACCGCAUACGCCCUACGGGGGAAAGCGGGGGAUCUUCGGACCUCGCGCUAUUAGAUGAGCCUGCGUAAGAUUAGCUAGUUGGUGGGGUAAAGGCCUACCAAGGCGACGAUCUUUAGCUGGUCUGAGAGGAUGAUCAGCCACACUGGGACUGAGACACGGCCCAGACUCCUACGGGAGGCAGCAGUGGGGAAUAUUGCGCAAUGGGGGAAACCCUGACGCAGCCAUGCCGCGUGUGUGAAGAAGGCCUUAGGGUUGUAAAGCACUUUCAGUGGGGAGGAAAAGUUGUUCGUUAAUAGCGGCCAGCCGUGACGUUACCCACAGAAGAAGCACCGGCUAAUUCAGUGCCAGCAGCCGCGGUAAUACUGAAGGUGCAAGCGUUAAUCGGAAUUACUGGGCGUAAAGCGAGUGCAGGCGGCAAAAUAAGUCAGAUGUGAAAGCCCCGGGCUUAACCCAGGAAUUGCACUGGAAACUGCUUGGCUAGAGUACGUGAGAGGGAAGUGGAAUUUCUAGUGUAGCGGUGAAAUGCGUAGAUAUAGGAAGGAACACCAGUGGCGAAGGCGACUUACUGGACCAAUACUGACACUGAGGUGCGAAAGCGUGGGGAGCAAACAGGAUUAGAUACCCCGGUAGUCCACGCCGUAAACGAUGUCUACUAGCCGUUGGGAGACUUGAUCUCUUAGUGGCGCAGCUAACGCAAUAAGUAGACCGCCUGGGGAGUACGGCCGCAAGGUUAAAACUCAAAUGAAUUGACGGGGGCCCGCACAAGCGGUGGAGCAUGUGGUUUAAUUCGAUGCAAUGUGAAGAACCUUACCUGGUCUUGACGACAUCCUAACUUACGAGAGAUAGUUUGGUGCCUUCGGGAACGUAGUGACAGGUGCUGCAUGGCUGUCGUCAGCUCGUGUUGUGAAAUGUUGGGUUAAGUCCCGUAACGAGCGCAACCCUUAUCCUUAUUUGCCAGCACGUAAUGGUGGGAGCUCUAGGGAGACUGCCGGUGACAAACCGGAGGAAGGUGGGGACGACGUCAAGUCAUCAUGGCCUUUCCGGCCUGGGCUACACACGUGCUACAAUGGCCAGUACAAAGGGUCGCGACCCCGCGAGGGUGAGCUAAUCUCAUAAAACUGGUCGUAGUCCGGAUUGGAGUCUGCAACUCGACUCCAUGAAGUCGGAAUCGCUAGUAAUCGUGAAUCAGAAUGUCACGGUGAAUACGUUCCCGGGCCUUGUACACACCGCCCGUCACACCAUGGGAGUGGGUUGCUCCAGAAGUGGCUAGUCUAACCUUCGGGAAGACGGUCACCACGGAGUGAUUCAUGACUGGGGUGAAGUCGUAACAAGGUAGCC